rnacentral:rRNA from 1 species
AGAGUUUGAUCCUGGCUCAGGACGAACGCUGGCGGCGUGCUUAACACAUGCAAGUCGAACGGAAAGGCCCUUCGGGGUACUCGAGUGGCGAACGGGUGAGUAACACGUGGGUGAUCUGCCCUGCACUUUGGGAUAAGCCUGGGAAACUGGGUCUAAUACCGAAUAUGACCAUGCGCCUCCUGGUGUGUGGUGGAAAGCUUUUGCGGUGUGGGAUGGGCCCGCGGCCUAUCAGCUUGUUGGUGGGGUAAUGGCCUACCAAGGCGACGACGGGUAGCCGGCCUGAGAGGGUGACCGGCCACACUGGGACUGAGAUACGGCCCAGACUCCUACGGGAGGCAGCAGUGGGGAAUAUUGCACAAUGGGCGCAAGCCUGAUGCAGCGACGCCGCGUGAGGGAUGACGGCCUUCGGGUUGUAAACCUCUUUCAGCACAGACGAAGCGCAAGUGACGGUAUGUGCAGAAGAAGGACCGGCCAACUACGUGCCAGCAACCGCGGUAAUACGUAGGGUCCGAGCGUUGUCCGGAAUUACUGGGCGUAAAGAGCUCGUAGGUGGUUUGUCGCGUUGUUCGUGAAAACUCACAGCUUAACUGUGGGCGUGCGGGCGAUACGGGCAGACUUGAGUACUGCAGGGGAGACUGGAAUUCCUGGUGUAGCGGUGGAAUGCGCAGAUAUCAGGAGGAACACCGGUGGCGAAGGCGGGUCUCUGGGCAGUAACUGACGCUGAGGAGCGAAAGCGUGGGGAGCGAACAGGAUUAGAUACCCUGGUAGUCC